UAGAACGAAACCCAUUCUUACCACAAGCUUUUAAUAAUAUCAUCGUGAUUGUCAUUACGUGCGACUAUCUCCACUAUAGAAAGAAAAAAAAAGAAAAAUCUAGUAAAGUAACUACUAGAACCAAAUAGGCUUUCUACAUAUGCAUAGUCAAAAACAAUGAUUUUUAUCAGCUGUAGCAAAGAAAGAAACUUCAUAGAAGUCAAAAUAGG
rnacentral:lncRNA from 1 species